rnacentral:rRNA from 1 species
CAGUCGCCGCGGGAAUGCGUAGGUGGCAAGCGUUGUCCGGAAUUAUUGGGCGUAAAGCGCGCGCAGGCGGAUAGGUCAGUCUGUCUUAAAAGUUCGGGGCUUAACCCCGUGAUGGGAUGGAAACUGCCAAUCUAGAGUAUCGGAGAGGAAAGUGGAAUUCCUAGUGUAGCGGUGAAAUGCGUAGAUAUUAGGAAGAACACCAGUGGCGAAGGCGACUUUCUGGACGAAAACUGACGCUGAGGCGCGAAAGCCAGGGGAGCGAACGGGAUUAGAUACCCCUGUAGUCCCUGUCUCUUAUACA